GCCCAGACUCCCCCAGGGAGUGAAGACAGAGCUCUGAGCAGAUGUCCCGUCCAGCUUGGCGAGUGGGACCAUGGUGCAGCUUUGUGGAUACUCUGGUUCACCUGGUCUCUAGAAGCCAUUGAAGUUGGAUGACAUCAGCUCCUCGUUGGACGAAGCGUGAAUUUGGAAGACCCCCGGAGGCUGCUGUGGGAGAAAGCGAGACUGAUGGAAGGCAGGCGGGGAAAGGCAGCCAGUGACAUGGGACUAAGUGAGUGGCCCAGUGUGUGGCCAUCGUGGGAUCCCACCUGGGAUGCCCUGCAAGAAGGAUGUUGAUGCCGACAUCUGGUGGAUGUUCUGCCAGUUCCAGAGCACCCACAGAAGACGGCAGAACUCGGGGCACCGGGCACAGUCCUGGGAGUCAGCUGGAAGGAUGGCCCGAGUCUGUGCCUGCUCCUCAUUAGUAACAGUAGCUGCGGCUGCAUGUCUACGACAGACUCACAACAGUGCCUGGAACAGAGUAAAAGUAACAGUAAUCGGCCAUCGUCAUUUGGGAACCAAGGACGUGUGACUCAUCUCAGGGGACAGCAUUGCAUGUCCCCAGGGGCACUUCGAUGAUUUACAAAGAUUUUCAUCAACAUAUGCCACGUGCUGGCGCAGAGCCGGGUCACUAGCUGAGGUCGAGGGUUGUGUGCCCGUGUCUCCCCUCCCCCGCCCCAGCCCUGGCCAGGGCUGGGUGGAGCACAGGCCCUGGGGGAGCGUCCCCAUCCGGCCCCCAGGUCCCACUUGUCAGCUGCCCAGGCCUCCAUGGGAAGAUGGGAUUGGAGAGCCAGCAUGCUGUUCCCCCUUUUUAAUUACUGCUGCCUUAAUUGAGUCACAAGUGGUGUUUGUGUUGCCAUCAAACCCACGAGGACCUCCUUGUUUAUGUGAAUGACUCUCAGUAGUGUGACAGCUCUGAAAUGUGAGAUGUUCUGUUUGUGCCGACUGCAACAGUGGCGGGCUUUGGCUGCAGACUCCCUUCCUAACACGUGGCUGGCCGGGGAGCUAGUGAGAGGCGCUGCUGUUCCCCUUGCAAAGAACGGCAGGAACGGAGACUGGGGCUGUAGAGUCACAGAGCCAAGGGGACUUCCUACCUGCGGCCUGGAAGCCCCUGGAGGUGGUGAGCCGCUCAUUCCCUGGUCCACUCGGCUCACCUCUCCCAGUUGCUGGCUAAGCCUCUGAGCCACAUCUGGAGAGGCAGCUGGAAUGGGAGACGGUGGGAAGGACUGUGACACAGGCAGCCUUCAGUGUCCUUCCCUCUCUGUCCAGCUGAGGGCCAGGGCUUGUGCUGGCAGCCAUAGAGGGGACAAGACGAGUUUCCUAGGGGCUUUGCCCUUGAGCAAUCUGCACUGCAAAUGUCAAGGGCGGCCAUAUCCAACCACUGGGGACCCUCAGAGAAAGCAGAGGCAGGUGAGGUGGUGCGUAGUCCGCAUGCCACCAGGGAAGGGUGGAGUCCAGGAGGGCUUCCAGAAGGAGGAGGGGUCCCAGGAGCAGGCCCUGAGGACAAUGCCAGGUGGAAGGAUGGGAGGAAGAGCAACCAGGGGACAGACCACCUCUCCUGUCCUCAGUGGGUGAAAGACGGCCACCCCUGGCCACUCCCUGCGCUCCACCUCCCUGAGACCCCCACCAGGCACAAGCCUGGAAGGAGGCUGUGUCUGGGGAGCUUCCCACUUAUUUAUUUAUUUUUCAGUUUAUGAAAAGAUAAUUCAGGAGACAUUAUUUCAAUCAGACCCCUACACAGUUUGGGAAUGCUAAUGCUUCCUCUAUUAAAAAGGUGUGGAAUAAUUAGGAUGCUGAUGAAGACUGGGGACGAGCCAUUACCAGAGCUCCCCGCUUUGCCUUCCCGUCCCCUCCGUAUCCCCGAGUGACAAAUUAGCAAGUAGCAGAUUCGGCUGCUAACACUUCGGGCAGCUUAGCUCAAACUGGAAGCCGGGUUUUUAGGAGAACGGAUCAACCUUGGAAUGACUUGGGAUGGCAGAAGGAGCCAGAGGAGGACGAGAGGCCUGUCCCUAUCCAUGUCCCCAAAGCAGAGGAGCCGGCACUGGCCUUGGGGAAAGAGGUCUGGGCUUUGGGGGUUUUGUUUUCUUCCCAGUUCUGGGGAUUGACCCCAGGGCCUGGUGCAGGCUUGGCCAGCGCUCCACCACUGACCUACACCCCAUCCUGAGGUCUGGAUUUUAAUCCUGGGGACUUGGAAAGUGACCUCAGAAUGCCACGACCUCCUCUUGAGACAGGGAAAGGGUGAACUUCAUUGAAUGAGGAGAAGCAAGGGAGGACGAAAAACCUAAAACAACAGUAAUGAAUUUUGGGGGGGAGGUGCCAGGGUUUGAACCCAGGUCCUUGUGCAUGCAAGGCAAGCACUGUACCAACUGAGCUGUAUCCCCAGCCCCAAUAGUAAUGAAUUUUGUCCAAAUACUUUGGAGCCAGGCACUCUUCAGAGGACUUUAUUGACACAAAUUCAUUUAACCUUCAAAACAAUCCCCUGAGUAGGCGUCAUUAUUAUCCCAUUUUAAAGAUGAAGAAACUGAGGCUCAGAGCAGCUAUGUAGCCUGAGAGGUGGUGGAAUAGAGAUUUGAGCUCAGGCAUGAUGAUGAGUGGCCCCCGAUGGUGCCAGAGCCAGAGUUGGAAGGCACUAGGCUCAGCCAGGGACACAGAGUUGGGGAUCCACUUAGGAAGGGCCUUGACAACCAGCUGCUACAGCUGCUAUGGCUGAACUGUGUCUUCCCCAAAGAUGUUGAAGUCCUGUCCUGCCAGGUCCCAUGAAUAGGAUCUUCUUUGAAAAUAGGUGUUUAGGAUAAUAGGGCUGGGGCCUUCAGGGUGGGUUCUGAUCCAACAUGACUGCUUCUCAAUGCACAGGGGGUUGGACAGAGAGAAACACCCAGAGGAAGGAGGAUGUGAAGACAGGGAGAGGGCGGUCUUCAAGCCAAGGCUUCCUGAGGCUACCCGAAGCUAGGAGAGAGGAACAGGGUAGAGUCCCCCUUGGUCCCCAGAAGGGAGCAGCCCUGUCUACACCGUGGUUUCAGAUUGCUGGAUCUGAGACUGUCCGUUCCUGUUGUCCACCCUCAGUUUGUGGUGCUUUUUAUGACAACCCCAGGACUCUAAUAUGACAGGGGGAAGAGAUGGUCUCAGUGGCCGAGGCAAGAGGGAGCCAUUGAGGGUUUCUGAGCAGGGAAAUCACAAGCGAUUGGUACUUUACAAAGAUCACUUUGGUGUCUGGGGUGCUGGAGGGUGGGAUCCAGUUAUCCUCGAGGGUUGGUGUGAGAACUGGUGGGGGGCUGUGCAGGGACAGAGGUGGGCAGGGCGGGAAUCAUGCAAUGCCAACAGGAAAGGGACAGUGGCCCCUUUCAGGGCUGCAAUGAUAAUGAAGUUAAAUCACUUCAUUCACUCAAUCAAUUGCCCCCUUCCAUGGCUCCAUCCCAGGGGAGAUUCACAUGCUCUGAGUUAAUAUCUAAAGAGAAGAAGAAGAAGAAAAAAAACAGAAUUCAAGGAUCAAACAACUUUUUUGAAGAGUGAAGUGUUAUUUCUACCCAGCCAAGACAUCAAAGCCCCUGGAUGGUGAUUUUUAGGUAAUAUUAAAGUGGGAUCUAAAUAAUGUUUGAAUAUUUCUCUGCUUGUCUGGGGGACCACAGUAGUCUCUCCCAGAGUGGGAGUGACAGUGAUGUCCCCAGCCAGGCUCCUCCCCAGGAGGAUCUGACGGGUUUCCAGGAACACAGCACUUGAACAAAUACUGCCUACGUUUCUUUUAGCAUUAACAGCUCAGGCCCUCAAGUUCAUUGUUCUAGGCAUGACACGCAUUUCAGCGGGUUAAACUGGCUAAAAGCCUGACUGACAAUUCAGCUAUGAUCUGAUGUUUUUCUGCACACAACGGCCCUCGUGUCUGGAAGUGUAUCCACAUUGUGGCAAAGUCACCUAUCAAGUGAGUUUCUCAAAGCCAAAUUCCAUUUGCUUGUUGAUCCCUAUUAUUAAGUUAAAAGUCAUCCAUCAAGUGAGUUGCUGGAAAGCAGUAUCUGUUUACUUAUUGACCCCUAUUAUUUCUAAUGAGAUAAAUUUUCCAGUCUACUUGUAAUAGUUGGCAUUUGCCGUGUAACAAAGUGGCUUCAUAUAAUCCUCACUUUGUCAUUGCCCAUGAGUCUGUGGGUCAACCAGGCAAUUUGGCAGUCAGCUAGCUGGUAGGCUGCUGGGGCCUGGGGCCUCGUUCAACUAUUGGCUAGAGUGAGCAGGAAGAACUUGUUUCUCUCCAUGCAGCAGGUUAGACCAGGUUCUCUCCCCUGGUCAACGUCAGGGUCCCCAGGCACACUCUCAAACCUGUGCUGUAGUGAUUUCUGCCAGUGUCUCAUCAGACAAAGCAAAUCAAAGCAAGACUCCACCCCUUGGUGGGGUGGGGAGAAGAUAAUGUCACUCCCCAAAUGAGUAUGCUUUCAGGGAUGGGAGGGAUUCGGGGUUAAUUUUGGAAUCCACCUUUUACUUCUUGUCCUCGUAGAACAUAUAAAGGAGGCUAGUCUACUUUAACAUACUCUUGUGUCAGACACUGUGCUAUAUGUUCUUUAUAAUUUAUAUCUCAUCUAAUCAGAGAAGUUAUGUAACUUUUUCAAGGUCACAUAGCUACCUACCACUGGAGCCAAGAUUCACUCUCAGGAUGUGUAACCCUUUAUCUGAUGCAAUUUUCACCAUUCCUUUAUGUCCACCAAUUUUGUAACUGAAUUUGUCAUUUCUGGGGUUCCUAGUGCACAUUUUCCACUAUGCUCCAGUCAGUUAUUUUCUGUUCUCUUCUCCUCACCGGUAGUGACCCAACCUCCAUUUGUCUAUCUCCCCUACCCAGGAGCUCACUACCUAUCUUUCUGUUGAUGGGUAUUGGGGAUUGAACUCAGGGGCACUCAAUCACUGAGCCACAUCCCCAGCCCUAUUUUGUAUUUUAUUUUGAGACAGGGUCUCACUGAGUUGCUUAGCACCUCGCUUUUUGCUGAGGCUGGCUUUGAACUCACCAUCCUCCUGCCUCAGCCUCCCGAGCCGCCGGUUUUACAGGCGUGCGCCACUGCGCCUGGCUUCUCUACCUAUCUUGACAGCCUACUGCACAGCAGAAUCUAUCCAUCUAUCACAAACUUCUUUUAAGUCAAAAGAGAUCCUAAAAAACCUGGGUGGGAACAAGGGGAACCGACAGGCAAAGUUUAGUUCAAGUUUUCUUUUCUGACCUACAAUUUGAGGUUUAUCUAUUGGAGCUGCCUGGUUUUGUAAUUGUGUUUAUCUUUGUUCUGCAUCAUUUGGAAAUUGCAAUUUGUGUUGGAAUAAAAAAAAAAAACGCAGGAAAAUUUGAUUAACUAGGUGAAUAUUUUUUCCCUAAAGAAAAUGAAGAUAAGGAAAUAAGUGUCAAAGAGACUUAUAAAAUGGGAACGAUGAGAAUGUGAUGAUAAUCACUUCCCUGCACCGGGAGGACCAUUCACAUAUGGUUGUCAGUUAUGUGCUGACUGUGCCCCUUUGGACAGAAGAUGAUGUCCAAGGAACCAUCCAUCCACUCGUCCAUCCAUCCAUCCAUCCACUUAUCCAUCCAUCCAUUCAUCCCCUCAUUCAUUCAUUCAGAGUUUACCAUAGUAAGACUAUAAGAUAAACUGGGGGUAUAAUGAAUUAAUUAGACAAAACCUGUACUCAAGGCUUUCCACAUCUAGUCGGGGAAUGAGGCAGGUGUGUCUAACUGCAGUGGGUGCAGAGAGCCUCAGCCCAGGGCGUGAGCACAACAGGGAAACCAGUUCUGGGUCUCUUCCCUUCAUCUGAUCUGCUGCUGCCACACCAUUCAGGAACUCUUUAGGGCUGUCCUUCCUGGGACCUCUUCCGACAGAAAAGCGCUCCAUGUGAGAUCUCAAAGGUCAAGACCGUCCCUGCACAAAUUCAAAACUCAAAAGAUCCCAAGAUGAGCCGCCCGCAGCCAGCCUCCUGUGAAUGGCAAGAGGCGGCCCGGGUGGUGGAGACGUCAGGAAAAUCGGGACCAGGGUUGGGCACACCACAGGCUUCUUCAACUUCCUCCCCACAGAGGGUUUCAGAUGUUCUCCCAAUAAAAAUUACCACCGGGCAAACACAAAUAAACUUAACGGAUUUAACUGACAGAGUUAAACAAGCAGAAGAUAGGAUUUCUCUUAAUGAGAAUAAACUACUUGCAUAUGAAAAGAUUUGAAACUGAGGAUUCAGUAACUCACCAGAAACUUGGAACAGAGGCACAGAAUUGGGGGAGGAAGGAACCACCAGGCAGGAAAGCUCCAUCUGGCCCCUGGGCACUGCUGAGAGGAGAGGCCGAGGCCGAGGGAGGUGGUGGGACAGGUGCAGCUCGUGGUGGGCCCACGCGGGAUCUCCUCAGCCAAGGGGCUGGGGGUUGAGAAGGGCCGAAUGAAUUACAUCUGUGCUUUGGUUCCCCGUGUGAGUGGAGGUCAGGAGACCCAUAGGAAUGGAAGAGUCACAUCCCAAAGUGGCCUUUGCCACUCUUGAGCUGGGUGAACUUGGGCUCUGGCCUCACCAUUUGGAGCUUCUGACAGUGAAGCCUCACUCUCAGGGUUUGUGUAAGGAUUCUACGAUGCAAUACUCAUGGGCUGUUUAUUCAAUUAACAGAAGUUCCCUUAGAAAUGACUAUGGGCCUGGGACUAUGGCUGGUGCCAGGGAACAGUGGUGGGCAAGACUGACAGGGCCCUGCUAGCACAGGGUUAGGGAGCGUCCAGCGAGUCUUAGGUUCUGAUGUAAUGGUCUGAAUUUUUUGGUUGCAAGCAACAGAAACACAACUUGUAGGGAAAAAAGGAACUGACUGGUGCUGGUGUUUCCGCAUACGGUAAGGUAGGCCACUGAAACAGCAGGGACCGGGGCCUCGGAAUCUGGAACCGAGACUGUCCCUGAGCCCCCGGACUCUCCUCUGCAUCUGUCUUUUUUCUGCGUUAUCGGUCUCUUUCCCUCCUAUGGCAGAGGCCUUCUCUUUAUAGUUGGGACACGGCCACAGCAGCCCCAGCUUAGUAAAUCCCAAGAAAGCACUUCUUUCUCUCAGCAUCUGAUUGUCAGUUCCAGAGAAGUUCCUGCUAGACCCUGCUUGGGCCACCUGCUCCCUUCUUGAACCCAUGAAUCACUGUUGUCAGGACAAUGGAGAAGUAUGAUUGGCCAUGCCUAGGUCAUGUGACCAGUGAUGGAGGUUUACUGUGUGCUGUAAUAAAUGGCUCCACCAGAAACACAUGGAGAGGAAAAGGAGUGUUCCUCAACAGAAGGGGAGCAAGGAACCCAAACUAGCAGAUGUUACCCCAUGAAAGGCACCUCGCCUCUACCUGACAGUCUGAGCCAAUGUCCGGCGGAGAAUGACACUCCACAUUUAUAAUCAGAGAAACUCACUGGCCUGAGAUCCUCACCGUUGGCAGACUGAGAAUUGAAGAGAAUUCUUGGUCACUCAACUUGAUGAAGGUUGAGUGGGUUUAGCUGUGGACAGUGAGAGCCCAGUACACAAAGAACAGCGGCCCGUUAUUCAUUUAACUUCCACGUGCCGUAAAAUUGGUUCAAGUUGUUUUUUAAAUUAAAGGUCAUUUAAUUAAACAAAAAAAAAAACUUUAUACAAAUUAUUGAUACCUAAACACACUUUGGUUUGGAACAUGAAAUAAAAUGAAAUCAUAGGCACAGAGUUGUAUUCAUAAGUGUGCUAAAUCAAAACCUAUACAAUAAUGAGAAACAUUAAAGGGUCAAAUCCAAGUACAAAGGAAGACACUCCUCUGAAUUCCCAUGUUUCAUCAGACAUCAAAAACCACCCAUCUUUUGGUUCUUUUCUUGUACAUUAUUCUGCAUCCACAUUCUCUGCAUCUGAUUGGAUCCGUGGAUUUUAUUUCAUUUUCUGUGUGACAUUCUCCACAGAUAUAUAUCAUUGGCUGCUGCUUUGGGUUCAAUUUCCUUAG